rnacentral:misc_RNA from 1 species
GAUGAAGAACGUAGCGAAAUGCGAUAAGUAAUGUGAAUUGCGGAAUUCAGUGAAUCAUCGAAUCUUUGAACGCACCUUGCACCCUUUGGCAUUCCGAAGGGUAUGCUCGUUUGAGUGUCAUUGUACUCUCACACUUCCAAUCUUUGGAUUGGGAGCGGUGGACUUGGGUGUUGCUGCUUACUGUGGCUCACCUCAAAUCGAUUCGUGCACCUCUUGGUUGGACAUAGUACGGCGUGAUAAGUGUCUUCGCCGGCACCUCAGUAGAGGGUGGCUGAUCAGGAGCUCUGUGCUUCAAACCGUCCUCGGACAACAACUGACAACUUGACCUCAAAUCGAGUAGGACUACCCGCUGAACUUAAGCAUAUCAAUAAGCGGAGGA